AUAUCAAUAAGCGGAGGAAAAGAAACCAACAGGGAUUGCCUUAGUAGCGGCGAGUGAAGCGGCAAGAGCUCAAAUUUGAAAUCUGGUACCUUCGGUGCCCGAGUUGUAAUUUGAAGAAAGCUAUCUUGGAGGUGGCCUUUGUCUAUGUUCCUUGGAACAGGACGUCAUGGAGGGUGAGAAUCCCGUGUGAUGAGGUGUCCAUUUCCGUGUAAGAUGCUUUCGAAGAGUCGAGUUGUUUGGGAAUGCAGCUCAAAGUGGGUGGUAAAUUCCAUCUAAAGCUAAAUAUUGGCGAGAGACCGAUAGCGAACAAGUACUGUGAAGGAAAGAUGAAAAGAACUUUGAAAAGAGAGUGAAAAAGUACGUGAAAUUGUUGAAAGGGAAGGGUAUUUGAUCAGACUUGGUAUUUAGCUAUCAUCGCUCCUUGUGGGUGGUGCUCUAGCUUUUUACUGGGCCAGCAUCAGUUUUGGUGGCAAGAUAAUGACAGUUGAAUGUGGCUCCUCGGAGUGUUAUAGCUUCUGUUGAUGUUGCCUACCGAGACUGAGGUCUGCGGCUUUUGCCUAGGAUGCUGGCGUAAUGAUCCAAUACCGCCCGUCUUG
rnacentral:rRNA from 1 species